AGAGUUUGAUUCUGGCUCAGGAUGAACGCUGGCGGCGUGCUUAACACAUGCAAGUCGAACGGAGUUUAACAGGUGCUUGCACCGGUUAAACUUAGUGGCGGACGGGUGAGUAACGCGUGGGUAACCUGCCUCGUACUGGGGGAUAACAGUUGGAAACAGCUGCUAAUACCGCAUAAGCUCACAGAGCCACAUGGCUCAGAGAGAAAAACUCCGGUGGUACGAGAUGGACCCGCGUCUGAUUAGCUAGUUGGUGAGGUAACGGCUCACCAAGGCGACGAUCAGUAGCCGGCCUGAGAGGGUGAACGGCCACAUUGGGACUGAGACACGGCCCAA
rnacentral:rRNA from 1 species